rnacentral:lncRNA from 12 species
UUUAUUUAAAACAUUUUUUCAAUAUAGUUACUAGAAAAUUUGAAAUUGCAUAUGAAGUUAAAAUUGCAUUUCUAUUAGCACUAGUAUAGAAUGUGUAUGAGUUUCAGUCUAUCUUAUAGAGAAAUUGCUGUUUCCUUACAAAUAAAUAGUUAAAAUUCUUGAAAGCUGCACACUAAGUUAAUUAAAUGCUCAAUUUUAUUUUGUAUUUCAACUUUGCUCUAUUAUAAUCCAUAUUCAUUCAAACUAUUUAUUCCUGCUUUUCUCCAUUUCACAGCAACAAACCAAAUGGACUUCAUGUGAAAUUAUUGACUACUCUGUGCCUCUCAGCCUCAAUUAGCCCCUAAUUCUAGGCACCUGGAAGCCAAAGCAAACCAUAAGGAGCCACAAGCACUACCCCGAUGCAGCAUCUCUGGAAGGAAGUUUCACAUGCAAACUGAGAAGCUGAUAAUUGAGAUCGCUCAUAGGUAAGCAUUUUGCCAGACCUCCAAAACUGAUUCGAUGAAGUCAUACAGGUCAUUUGACACCAUUUUAAAGAUGCAAACAUGAACUCACUCAUGAUCAUAACCCAAAGAUAAAGUAUAUAAAUUUGUAGUAUAUAAAAAUAGUGUAUAAAAAUGAGA